rnacentral:lncRNA from 1 species
CCCCACCUCCCCUCCCCCGGCCCUUCGCUCAAGCUCAGCUCUGGUGGGCACUUAAAGGGACCUUUACACUCCGGCCAACUGCUUUGCAACUGACUCACAGGCGGCUCCUUCUCGUAUUGGGCGUCAAUCCCUUCUCAAUACNAAUCCCUUCUCAAAUCCCCCCCCCCCAGGCGGUCUGUGGGGGUGAUUUGGGGGAGGGGGGACCGGGAGAGAGGGAGUUUUAUUGUCUUUAUUUUGCCUCGCAGGUAGCAACAUUUUUAAGUCACUAACAUUUUCCUCUGGACUCCUCUGAUUGUCAGCCCCAUCUUCCAAAACCCAGCUGAGGACCGUGAAGACGAAGUUGCUUUGAACGGGGCAGUUUUCUGAGAUCUUUGCUCUUACAGUCUCUAGUCUUAAAUCAUAACAGAGAUCGAACCGGAGCGGGGCAGGGGGCCGGGGGGGGGAGAGUCAACGCGCCUGCAGGAUUUAAAAGAGACAAAAAUCCGAGCACCAGCAGGUUUAAGUUCCCGGGCUCUUCGCCUGUAGCCCGAGAAAAACAGCUGUUUGCUGGCUCCGAAAGCCACGGGGGCUGUUUGUACACAACUAUGAAAAAGGGGAAAUGCGGCUCGCCCUGGAGUGCGAAUCUAAUUUGAAAAUGUAGCAGGAGUGAAGCUCGCCCACUUAAAAACCCAGUUUCUUAUUUCUUUUGAAGAUAGACAGGAACAUGGGCAGGAUGUUUAUACGGCGAAAUGUAAACAUCGUCUCAGGGGUUCUUUAAUAAAAUGAAAUCAGAAAGAAAACUCCCUGGUAGUUCGCAUAGGGCCCCGUGCUGCGCCGUAUAAAAUAGCGCACGUCGCUUGAUUUGCUGCCGGGUUAGACUUUUGUUGUUGUUUGUUGUUGUUGUGAUAUAAAUGUGUGUUGAUUUUUUCAGCUAUGCCCAGACUUUGAUCCUCAGAAGUAAUGGAUCUCUCUCUCUCUCUCUCUCACACACACAUACACACCACAUGGGGGGCGAGGAGGAAAAGGAAGGCAAAGCCUUCCUCAGACCCCCACCCCCCAAAAGUCUGACCACCUUUUCAUCAGUAAAGCUGUCACUCACUAAUCAAGAGAUCUGUACAUCAGAGGGGAUGCGGCAGGCGGGGAGAGGGCCGGAGACCCUCCUUGCAUGGAUCACCUCUUCCUUCACUGGAUGGACGAUCAAACGUGCAGGCUGUGGUACCAGAAUAUGCCCAGCACAGUUUUUUCCCGAGCCCAUUGAGUUGGACGAUUGAGUGGAGCAGUCGGUUUCCUAUGAUGGAAAGUCUCCUGGAAGCAAAGAGAACACAAAUUUUUAGGGAUUCCACAUGAAUCCGCCGCUUGCUAAUUCCAGCAGAAUCUGACCAAGAAUUAAACUCAGCUGCAGCGUUAACACCUUUCAAAUGUAUCCUCCCAGGCUGGCUAUCCGCCUUCCCAGUUCGGAACCGGAAACGUUCUCCAGGGAGAGAGUUUUGGAGCAUCCUACGAACUAGAAAUGGAGCGAGUGGCUGGACUAGGAGGAAGGUGCAAACUCUUGUGGAGCAAAGUUUGGUGCAAGAUUUACAUCGAAAUAGUCGCUGCAAUGCAGGAAGAGGAGUGACUUUUAAUUGUGAAGCUUCGCGACUUAACGUCGAACCAGUUCAGAUCAGAGGCGCAUCCACACAGAAAUGUACCUCCGAUAACCCGAAAUAACGGACGGCUACAAUCUCCAGUGGCUUCAGCCUUCUGGCAACUGCCAUGCAAUACUGCGUGCGUGUUAUUUGUGUUUAAUAAUCAUGUGAUUGGCUCUCAUUUGAGUCGGAAAUAAUCAGAUCGGGGAAAAGCCUGGAUUUCAUCCGCAGCUUGCUCGCAGAAACUGAUCUGGGGGCAGGACAGAAAGCAAGUUAACAGGCAACAUAAAUAAUCCUGUGCCUAGAUGUGGCUCUGGGCAGGAUUGGUUUGGUUGCUUGACAACGUGCCAUCUGCAUAACGAUAGAGCCAUUAAAAUGGAUCUCUGCCUAUCCACCUUUUCAGUCCAUUUCAGUCCAUUGCAAACAGUCCAUUGCAAACAGUGAAGAAAGUUACUCGUGAAGGAUUUUGCGUCGCAACCCGCCAAAUCCUGGGAAGCAUGAUCGUGUGGUUAAAGCACGGGACUGGGAUUAGGGAAAUCAGAGUUAUUUUUCCCUGUCGCAGACCUGCUUUGUGAACUAACCUUUCCGUGCCUCAGUUUCUCUACCUAUAAAACCGGAAGUUAAGGGAGCUAUUUUGAGCUAAAUUCAUUCACGCUGGUUAAGCACGUCUGAGAUCCUCUGAGGCUCUACAGUUUUAUUCGCAUUACUUGCAACAGUGGACCCACUAGCAAACCUAUAUACUUGCAAAGAACCCAAACCCUCUAAUGAAGGCAGCAAUGCCAGGUUUGUGGACGGAGCAACAGGUAGAGGCUCUCGGAAGCAGGUGGAUUUAAAUAGACGGGGAGAUGCUCAUGACCCAAAGUUCUUAUUUUAUUUUUAUAUAGUAACAAGGAAACAGGUUUAUGGGGCCCUAAAUUACAGUUCCCAUUAGACUUCAAGGGGAGUUUUGCCUGAGUAGGGAUCUGGCCAAUUACCUAGUUUAUGUAGGGCCUUAUCCAACUCCCACUGAAGACAAUGGAAAUGCUCCCAUGGACUUCAGUGGAAGUCGGACCAGGCCCAUACAUAGGCCCCCCUUCAACAUCAGCUCCACAAUUUUGGAGUUCCCAAAACCGGGAACUCCAAGGACAUGGUUUCUCAGCCUGGGGUAGCGACCAUCUUGGUUUUCUUUAUAGCUAGAUAGGAGGGAGAUUCUGAAAUUAUAGGAGGAGUUCCCAGAACUUUUUUUCCUGAUCUAUCAUGGGGUCUGGGCAUGGAUAAUGUUGAGAACCUCUGAUUGAUAGUAAGGGCUUCUGAUAUUUGGUUUUAACCCCCAUCAAAAUGAAAUUGGUGUUUAUCCAAUAAACAAUGGGAGUGGUUACUUGUACCCA